GAGGAAAGCUGGCGGCGUGCCUAAUACAUGCAAGUCGAGCGAACAGACGAGGAGCUUGCUCCUCUGACGUUAGCGGCGGACGGGUGAGUAACACGUGGAUAACCUACCUAUAAGACUGGGAUAACUUCGGGAAACCGGAGCUAAUACCGGAUAAUAUAUUGAACCGCAUGGUUCAAUAGUGAAAGACGGUUUUGCUGUCACUUAUAGAUGGAUCCGCGCCGCAUUAGCUAGUUGGUAAGGUAACGGCUUACCAAGGCAACGAUGCGUAGCCGACCUGAGAGGGUGAUCGGCCACACUGGACCUGAGACACGGUCAAGACUCCUACGGGGGGCAGCAGUCGGGACUCUUCCCCAAUGGACGAAAGCCUAACGGAGCAACGCCGCGUGAGUCAUGAAGGUCUUCGGAUCGUAAAACUCUGUUAUUAGGGAAGAACAAAUGUGUAAGUAACUAUGCACGUCUUGACGGUACCUAAUCAGAAAGCCACGGCUAACUACGUG
rnacentral:rRNA from 1 species